rnacentral:lncRNA from 1 species
AACCGCACUCUCGUGGUGUUACUGAGAACUAGCAUUGUCUGAAUGUUGUUUUUCCUCAAAUUGUGUUGCAGCAAUCUUUCUGCAGUGGAGUGGUUUAUGCUCAUGCAAAUGCUCAUGAUGCUAUCCAAGUGUUUUUAAACAAGUGUUAUCAUGACAUGAAGAUCCUUUCUCUUCAUUUCCUCAAUUUUGAACGGAUGCAAUGGUUUCAGUUUGCUUUUAGCUUAAAAAGUUUCUCGUUUUUGUUUUAUAAUGAAUGUUAAGUUUAAAGGUUGGCUUGUAUACGUUUAUUUGCUGCAGCAGUUUUUAACAGGUUUCGCCAGUGAGUAUCAAGUAAUUUUCUCGAGUAAUGCGCCCGCUAUUGUUGGAUCUACAGUGACGUUUACCGCCGAUCUGUUCAAGAAUAAUGAACGCCCCUCUGGAAAGUUCUACUAUCAUAUUUAUGACAACUUCCAUCCUCCAAAUUCGUUUCGUAAUGAAACGACAAGCACAACAGUUCACUGGAACAUAACUUACACUGGAAGGGAAAGAGUGGGAAAUUACACAGCCACGGUAGUUGUGGAAAGCUCAAUCAUUUUCGGAGCAAUCAAGAGGAAAAUUUGCACUAAUGAGACUACUUUUGAAAUAACCAGGCAAUUGAACGGAAACAUUGACCUGGCACAAAAUGGAACACAUCGACAGAAGUUUGUGUCAACUGCAGUUGCUGUUGAUCACCAUGUGGAACUUACCGCACACCGACCACAACUUCAUUAA